GCUGGGGAUGUAGCCUAGAGAAAGAGUGCUUGCUUUGCAUGCAUGAGGCCCUGGGUUCAAUCCCCAGCACAGCA
rnacentral:tRNA from 1 species